UUGACAUUGCUACAAUAACAACUGGGCUAGAGGAAUUUUCCAUUUCAAAACAAAUUCCAGCCGUGGGAUCGACCUUGGACUCUCAUGAGAGUGUUAUGGCAGAUGGAAGAGGAAAGUUAGAGUUGACGCAGGAAAAACUACUAGGUCUGGCAGACCCUAUCGGACAGAUACUGCGUUGCAGCGAAGGGCUUCAACAUCUGGUCCUUCUGGACCAUCUGGAAUACCAGGGGCUGCACCUCCACAAGUUAAACCAAAAGUUAUGUCGUCCGAAGACGUUUUGGCUCAGGCACUUGGUAAAAUUAAUGAAUCUUUGGAAAAUUUAGCUAAACAAGUAGCUGAAACAAAUAAACAAGUAGCCGAAGCAUCAGUUAAAAUUGACCAAAAUACUACAAGCAUUAAUAAUUUGGGACAGAAGGUGAAUACCAACACAGAGUCUAUUGAAAAAUUACUACAGGAAUCUGCUUCGACCCGAAAGACAGCUGAAGAAGCAAAAGAUAUAGCAACUGCUACUCAAGAGAAGAUACCACCGAUAUAUAGGCAAUUGGAGGACCACGGUUUGACGUUGUCUAUGAUUGAAUUGAAGGAGAAACAAAGAAAUUUAAGAAUCAGGGCUGUACCAGAACGUGAGAAAGAUAAUUUGGCUGAUUUUCUUACGCAGGAAUUUGCAGAUUUCUGGCAACAGGAUUUGGGGAAGGAAGAAUUUAAGAUAGUGAGUGCAUUUAGACUUGGAAGAGGAGGAAGGAGGAACAAGGAGAGAGACUGCUUGAUCACCCUUCAAACAAAAGAGGAGAGAGACAAAAUCUUGAAUCUGCAUUACCAAGAGACUCUAGAAAUUUACGACUCAAGUGUGGAGAUAUUUAAGGAUAUUCCAAAACAUCUUUUGGAUUAAAGGCUUAACUACGGAGAUCUGGUUGCCCUGUUGAGAAGUAACAGAAUCAGCUUUAGGUGGGAAUUCCCUCAAGGCCUGUCUUUUAAAUAUAAAGGAAGAAAGAUAAAAAUAAGAUCAGUCAAUGACAAGGAUAGGUUUUUGAAGGAUCACGGAGAAGAUCUACAGAAAGAAGUGGAAUCUGGAGAAGAGCCAAAAGCACUGGAAAAAGGAAUACUAGAUAUAGCAAACCUAUCUUUUGGAUUGCAUGGUCCAGAGAAAGUGACACCACUGACAGAACAAGAACAGACACUUGGCGCAGUUGGGGGUAAAGCGAAGUAACCCCAUCAUGGCUUUGCAACUGUUAAGUUGGAAUUGUAAUGGUCUAAACUCUCCUCGGAAGAGAAAAAGUGUUUUUCAUUUACUAAAAAAGGAACAAUUGGACUUGAUUUGUCUACAAGAAACACAUGUAACAAGGUUACACAGGAAACUACUGAUUAACAAGAGAUUGGGACAGGAGUUUAUUUCAUCCGACAAAGUUAAAAAAAGAGGAGUUGUGAUUUAUGCAAAGGAGAGACUAUUACCGAAAUUUAUUUUUAAAGACGACCAAGGAAGAUUUGUGGCAAUUGAAAUUCAAGUUCAAGGAGAGAAAUUUUUGAUAGUAGGAAUUUAUGCACCGAAUGAGGGGAAAUCUGAAUUCUUUAAAAAGUUGCAUGAGACCUUAAUGGACUAUUUGGAUUACAAUCUGAUUUUGAUGGGGGAUAUGAAUGGAGUAGUAUCUACAAACAUGGAUAAGGCACAAAGACAGGUAGUUACCAAGGAUGGUAGACUACCGAAAACAUUCUUCGAGAUGACAGAUAAUUUGGACUUAGUUGAUACUUGGAGAACAAAGAACCCCUUGGGAAGAGAGGGAACCUUCUUUUCUGAAGCCAAGAUGACAUGGACCAGAAUUGACCAAAUAUGGGUAACUAGAGGAAUGGCACCAAAGAUAAAGAAAGUGGAAAUCUGCCCAAAAACCUGCUCCGACCAUAAUGCUGUAAGGAUGGAGUUGAAACUAAUAUCAACUGGCUCCUUCAGAUGGAGGAUGAAUGACACCUUAUUCAGAGAUGAAGAAGUGUAUAAAAGGCCCAAAAAACCUUGAGAGACUAUUUUGAAAUAAAUAUGAAUACUAAUGUAGAAAAUAGAGUAAUCUGGGAUGCAAGCAAAGCUGUCAUGAGAGGGUUUCUGAUACACCAGAAUGCAAUAAAGAAGAGAAGUCAAAAUGAGAAGAAAGAUAAAAUUUUGGGG